GCAGCAAUGGCUAACAAUCAACUGGGGCAGCAGCUGUGAGAAGUGCAGUGUUAACAUCCAUCACCUCCUGGCACGGACAUCGUCCUCCUUCAAAGUGACAGAUCAGAAGGACCAAUAGACGGGUCAGAGGGAAAUUUGAGUAUAAGUGGUAACAGUCUAAGCAAAACAAGGUGGGAAAGCAAAGGAGAAUUCUAUCAUGAUGAACAUAGGGUAUUGACAUUUUGAAUUGAAGAUGGUGGACACCAGGAUGAAGUUGCAUUGGUGUUACAGACUAAGGUUUGAAACAUUUAUUGAAAUCAGAUAAUGUACAGUGAUCUGACUCUCCACAGAUAGUACAAGACUAUAGCUUUCAUCUACAAGCAGAUCCAGUGCCGGGAACCUCCAAUUCCAGCCAAUUCCAGAGGGGGGCUUCCACUAGAUCCACCCACUUUUCAUCCAGGUCCCUUCAGCAAUUCCCUUGCCGGAACCUUACCGACCCUCAUAGGAGGGGUUAAGGUGGACUAUAAUGAUGGGGGGUUGGCUCACUGCUGUACCAAUCAGAGGAGUCCCCAACUGCUCCCAGCUCGCUCAAUUACCAAGCACCUCUCCUUUGUUCCUUUUCCAAGCCAUUUAUCCGUUCUUUUGUGCCUUAAUUUAUGGAGUACCUGCACUGAACAUCCACCACAAGGAGACGCCAGCCAUUAACUUGGCUGCCUCCUCCCCACUCCCAGCUGGGUUCCCAGACAUCUCCCAAUGCCCUCUUUUAUAUCAGCCAAUAAUAUGGCAGCAGCUGAAUCAGACAUGUGCACCCCAUCCUCCCGAAAUAACUCCAGUGCCCCAUAGAAUAUGCCAGGAUGUAAAAUUACUGCCCCCCCCCCAAGGGCAACAAGAAUUUGGCCACUUCCCUUUCACAUACUUCCUGAUUUUGUCCACGCUGGCGGGGUUCAUGGCACCCCACCAGACACUGCGCUGAAGCAUAUCCGACCAAUGUUAAUGCCUGGAAAAAAAUGGCCAGGAUCUGCAUCAGGUCCCUCCUAGUUCGAAGCAUUAACUCCACCCCUUUAAGUGUUCCCAGAUAAUUUUCUCCCAGGUGUAUCACCAAUAUGUCUGGUGGCCGCUGACAUGCCCGCACAGCAUACAACAGUGGUAUCAGUCAAUCCCAUAACAUGCCCUGCGUGCGUGCCAACUGAGUAAUGCUUCGCCACCAAAUCCCAGCUGGGAGCCCUCGGGCAACCUGGAUGUAUGCCUAUGCACCCAAAACACAAUACUGUGCCCACAGAAUUAUACCGUCAUGUGUAUAACCAGCCAUACCAUAUCUGAAAUGAGAACAACCGAUUAAUGUUGAUUUUCCACCUGCAGACUUACAUAUGAUGGGUAUGCAUUAGACUGCCAGCGCCCGAUUGCCUGAAUAGCCUCUGCUUCCAUGCCCAUUUGUGCUGCUGCCAUGGCUGCCCCUAUUUGGAAUGAGUAGGAACCAAAUUAAUGGACUGGCAGCCCCAACCUCAUUAGCUCCCGUCUCAACAUGGUAAUCAAUUGAUAUGCUGUGAGGGGACUCCCUUCUCCAUGUACAAAAAAGGGGCCUUCUCCCUUCCACCGUAUUGCCACAUAGGCCCUCAACACCAGAACGAGGCAGAUCCAAUAGGGUAACAAAUGCACCCCCGCCAACUUGAUCAGUCUUUGACCUUUGCAAGUGUAAUAUCACUGCAUGGUUGUGCUAGCUUAUGUCACAAAAUUCCAAAGCCUUUCCCAUAGAAUCCAUGAUGGACCCACGCACUAACUCACUGAUCCUGAAAGGACCAAAAAAUGCUGUCAAGAAUGCUGCCCUGAAUAGGGACACCGAGGAUGUGAAGGAGGUCCCUGAGCGUGGAAACCCUGAUGAAACAAUGGGAAUCCUCCAUAGGUCCACUGCUACAUGACCAU